GAAGCUCCGCCGCAAGGCCAGUACGGCCAUCAAGGAGAUCGACAUCCCCCGUGUCUGCAGCUGCGACUGUGACAAGCCAUCCGCCCCGGUGCCUCCACCACCGGAGCCUCCGAAGGAGCCGAAGCCCCCUCCGCCCCCUCCACCACCGGAGCCUCCGAAGGAGCCAAAGCCCCCUCCGCCCCCUCCACCACCGGAGCCUCCGAAGGAACCGAAGCCCCCUCCGCCGCCACCAGUCGUCGAAAAACCACCACCACCACCACCACCACCACCAC
rnacentral:lncRNA from 1 species